rnacentral:lncRNA from 1 species
CUUGUUUAAAAAAUCUCAACCAACCUUGAGACAGGAACACAACAGUAACCAUCACUCGUGGGACCUGCCUGACUGGAGCUCAGCAGUGAACCCAAGCAAAGCUGGUGCAAGUCCCACCAUGCAGGAGGCUGAGCCCUCCAAGAGUGUGGCUGCUGCUUUCCAGGCUGAGCAGAUUCUCCAGUUUCCUGCACUUUCAGGGUCCUCUGAAGCUCAGCAGUGCUGCUCCUGCAAGUACAGCAGGGUUGGGAUUCCACCAAGCAGAGACUGCUGUAAGCAGGGUCUGAAGAGCAGCACAAGGAGGUGGAGGAGAAAGAAGAGGCAGCUGUGUUCAAGCUCUUCCCCUGACCUGAAUUCCUGGUUGAAAAAGAAACCAGUUUCUUAGCUGAAAAGUAAGUGUCAAAGGAUACUGCAAUUAAAUUAUUUUUUAUUUCCACCUAUCAAAGAAAAUUGAGAGGGAUUAAGUGGAUGAAUGUAUCAAGUAAACCUGCA